CCCCAGAACAGGAAUUUUUACCCCAAACUUCCCCCCCAAAAUGGGAAUUUUUCACCCCAAAAUUUCCCCCCCAAAAUGGGAAUUUUUUACUCCAAAAUCCAACCCCAAAAUAGGAAUUUUCCCCCAAAUUUCUCCCCCAAAAUGGGAAUUUUUACCACAAAAUUUUUAACCCAAAAUGGGCAUUUUUCACCCUAAAAUCCAUCCCCAAAAUGGGAAUUUUCCCCCCAAUGUUUCAACCCCAAAAUGGGAAUUUUUACCCCAAACUUCCCUCCCAAAAUGGGAUUUUUUUACCUAAAUUUUCCACACCAAAAAUGGGAAUUUUCACCCAAAAUUUUAACCCCAAAAUGGGCAUUUUUCACCCCAAAAUCCACCCCCAAAAUGGGAAUUUUCACCCCAAUUUUCAGCCCCAAAAUGGGAAUUUUUCACCCCAAUUUUCACCCCAAAACUGGGAAUUUUCACCCCAAAAUCCACCCUCAAAUCCAGGAAAUUCUACCUUAGAAUUCACCCCAAAAAUUGGAUUUUUUUACCCCAAAAUCGCCGCAAAAAUUAGGAAUUAACACUUAAAAAAUCCACCCCAAAACUGGGAAUUUUUACCCCAAAAUCCACUCUAAAACUGGAAAUUUCCACCUUAAAAUCUCCAAAAAAAUGGGAAUUUUUUGCCUUAAAAUCCACCCCAAAAUUGGGAAUUUCUACCUUAAAAUCCACCCCAAAAAUGGGAAUUUUUUACCCCAAAAAUAAGAAUUUCCACAGUAACAUGCAUCCCAAAAUUGGAAAUAUUUACCCCAAAAUC
rnacentral:lncRNA from 1 species